rnacentral:lncRNA from 1 species
CAAAGCAGAACAACGCCUAAAGCAGGGCCUUCCAUGAACACUGAAGGAAGGCAGAAAUCAAGGGCACCCCUGGCACAGAACACAGAGUAUGAGAAGGCCUGAGUUCGGAUCCUCAGAACCCAUGAAAAGCUGGUCUCUGCGGCAGCCUCUACAGCCUCAGCUCUUCCAGCGCCAAGGAGCAGACAGACAGGAAGACCUGGUCUCACUGGACAGUCGGUCCAGCCCAGUCAGACUCUAAUAAGUAACAAAACCAUCUGUGGCACAUGGUUUUAAAGAAAAAAAACAAAAACAAAGGGACAGACCUACCCACCUUCACCCAGCCUGAACCUUGUACUUGAUCAGGUCUCUCGGACACUCACCUACCCUGCAAAGUGGGAGAGCAGCUGGCUUGCAGCAGCACAGGUGAGAAAGAGUGGUGUAUCAGGGAAAGAGCCCAGGACCUGAGACAGCUUCAACCCAACGAACCCAACCCAACGAACCCAACGAACCCAACAAACCCAACGAACCCAACGAACGGGCUGAACUGGAGGCUGCUGUGACAGGAAAACUCAAAAUAAACUGAAGAAAAUUUAAUGGUUUUAAAACAAAGGGAGGGCCUGCUUCUCUGGAACAUAGGCUAGGUUUGCCCAGUGGGUUCCAGCUGUCCUUCAAUCAGGCUAGCCUGGGUUUUGCUUUCGUUUUUAAGAUGA